rnacentral:lncRNA from 1 species
AUGCCUCAAAGGAAUGGCACAAGUAUCCAUUCCAAUGCGAAGCCUUGGCAUAACGGCUCCCAGAAACUGCUCAUCUUCUUGGAAGUGGUUCUCCUGUAAAGAUUCCAGCAAUUUUUGCAAGACAUCUUGGGGCACUUUGCAACCUGUGCCCUUCAGUUCAGUGAAUCUGGUUAGCCAGAAGCUUUUGUCCAAUUCAUAACUUUCCAGGUUAAAGGACUCCCGCUUAGACAUGGUUCUUGGGCCCCGCUCUCCUCACAGCUCAGCCCCUCCCCUCCCUCUGUGGGUUGGCUGGGUUCUUUAUGGAUCCACCGGCUGGCUUUGCACCCUCCGCCUCCUCCCAAAAACGGGCUGCGGGCCGCUCCCACAAUGCACCGGGCACGGCCGGACUCCCUUAAGCGUCGCCUGAAUAAAAAUGCCACGCCUGGUGGCAGUAGCAGUGGCAGCCCAGGCCCAUGCCUGGGUGCUGCGGGGGCUCACCUGGCUUGGCAUAGCCCUGUGGGAGCCAGGCCAUGGCACUCAUGCCUGCUGGGCAUGUGGGGCUACGUUUGGUCUUUGAUGUUGGUUAUCUACAGAUGGGGUUUUUAUGUGGAUGUCCUUUUUGUUGAUAUUGAUGUUAUUUCUUUCUGUUUGCUAGUUUUCCUUCUAACAGUCAGGUCCCUCAGCUGCAGGUCUGUUGGAGUUUUCUGGAGGUCCAUCCAGCCCGUUUGCCUGGGUAUCACCAGCAGAGGCUGCAGAACAGUAGAUAUUGCAGAACACCACAUAUUGCUCCCUGAUUUUUCCUCUGGAAGCUUCGUCCCAGAGGGAAGCCGCCUAUAUGAUGUGUCUAUUGGCCCCUACUGGGAGGUGUCUCCCAGUUAGGCUACACCGCAGUCAGGGACCCACAUGAGGAGGCAGUCUGUCUGUUCUCAGAGCUCAAAUGCCAUACUGGGAGAACCACUGCUCUCUUCAGUUCUGUCAGACAGGGAUGUUUAAGUUUGCAGAAGUUGUCUGCUGCCUUUUGUUUAGCUACGCCCUGCCCACAGAGGUGGAUUCUAUAAAGGCAGUAGGCCUUGCUGAGCUGUGGUGGGCUCCACCCAGUUUGAGCUUCCCGGACACUUUGUUUACCUAGUAAAGCCUCAGCAAUGGCAGGUGCCCCUCCCCCAGCAAGGCUGCAGCCUUGCAGGUCGAUCUCAAACUGCUGCACUAGCAGUGAGCAAGGCUCCAUGUGUGUGGGACUCACCGAGCCAGGCACGGGAGAGAAUCUCCUAGACUGCCGGUUGCUAAGACUGUGGGAAAAAUGCAGUAUUUGGGUGGGAGUGUCCCGUUUUUCCAGGUACAGUCUGUCACGGCUUCCCUUGGCUAGGAAAGGGAAAUUCCCUGACCCCUUGCACUUCCCAGUUAAGGUGAUGCCCCACCCUGCUUCGGCUCACCCUCCAUGGGCUGCACUCACUGUCCAAUCAGGCCCAGUGAGAUGAACCAGUUACCUCAGCUGGAAAUGCAGAAAUCACCCAACUUCUGCAUCAAUGACACUGGGAGCUGCAGACUGGAGCUGUUCCUAUUCGGCCAUCUUCAGCCAUCGGUCAAAUUUGUCAUUUUAUAAGUAUCCCAUUCCCACAACAAUGAACACACUUCCAUGAUAACAGCAUUAAUCAUUUAUGAGGUUGGUGUCCCAUGACCCAAAAACUACCCAUCAGGCCCUCAAUCCUUUAUUGUAGAGUUUUUAUAUGUGGUUUAAGUUAGGUUGCUUUCAGCUUAAAAUAGACUGUUAUAACCUUAAGAUGUUUUAUAUAAGCCUGAUGGUAACAACAAAAAGAAAAGCUCUAGUAGAUACAUAAAAGAUAAAGAGAAAGAAAUAAAAACAUACCACUACAAAAAAAAUCAUUAAAGUAUGAAGGAAGACAGCAAGAGAGGAAUAAAGUAACAAAGAAACUACAAACAUAAAACAAUGCUAAAAUUGACAAUAAAGCCAGCAACGGUGACACAUGUCUGUGGUCCCAGCUACUGAGGAGGAUGAGGUGUGAGGAUUGCUUGAGGUUAAUAGUGUGGGGCUGUAGUGUGCUAUGAUUGUGCCUAUUAAUAGCUGCUGCAAUUCAGCCUGGACAACAUAGCAAGACAGUGUUCUCCAAAAAUAAAUAAAUAAAAAUUUAAAAUGCCAAUAGUUUUUUAAAUUACUCUCCCACUUGCAAAGACAAAACAAUGUGUAGAGAUUUACACUAUGAACAUUUUUUUUUCCCAAGAAGCAACACAGAAACUUAAAAGGAAAAGUGAAAGAAACCACAUACCCUUUGAAAGAAGUGUUGGGCUGCAGCCUACACUGUGAGCCAGGCAGAAAACUAAGUCCCAGAAUGUGAGAGGGGGAUAAACUGCCUCCAGGAUACACACUCCCACUGGGAACCCAGCAAUUCAGGCCACAGGGGAUGAACUUAACUCUACCAGCACUGGAACUUAUUUAGUGACUGGUGGGGAGUAUAUUAUAAGUAGCAGAAACAGGACGUGCCUUGCAUGCAUUUCCAUUCUCCAGCAGAGAUGGAGGGAAGCCAUUCCUGAUCCUACCUCACACAGGACCUCACAGAAGUCUGCCAGCUAACUCAAGUAGUGUUCACAGGUUGAGAGAAGCUCCCAACUGAGCUUCAUGAUAUAAUCCAGAACCGAGGGGGCAAGUAGGAAGUAAACUGUAGACAUGGGUUCAGGAGCUGGUUGUCCCUGCUUUGUGGGCAGACUGGGAAAGAUAUAGCCCCAUAGCUACAGUUUAUGUCUCCCUGGGGAAGGCUUAUGGCCUAGGGCAGUUUUGAGUUUUGAAGGCAGACUGUCUAGAAUCUAGCUAGCUGCUGCUAGCGGAAUAAUGUUGGUGUGAGGCCUGCUUUGCUAAGUGCAUGGGAGCUAGGUGGGGCUUAGCUUACUGCUGCCUGCUAAUCUCUAUUCCCCAUAUGGAUUCUUCCGUGCAGCAGAGACAGCUGUAGUCUUCCCUGGAACAUUAACCUGGUGGCCAGAAAACUAUCCUCCAAACCACUAGGGCCACUGCUGGCACUCACAUGUGGAGAGCCAGAGUGUUUGACUUGUCUGACCCAGCCCCCACAUAGCUUUGCCCCUCCACCUACCCUGGUAUCUUAACACAAAGGAAAGAAAAUUUUGAGAAGUCUAUGGCCCUGCUCAUUGCCUGAGAUACCAGAGUACCUCCCCUGGGUAAUAAAAGGCAAGUACAAAUCCCACUGCUACCACAGCAGCUGGUGCUCUUUUGCAAGUGCCACCUCCUGGCUGGAGGCCAACCAACAUAGUCCAUUACAGCACCUGCAGGCAGAAUAACACAGCACCUAGCAAGGAGAAAACUUGGGCAUGUUCUAAGCUAUCAUCAUUGCCUGCAUCACUCUGGCUAAGUAGGAGGUCCUGAGUCUGUCCAUGUGACCAGUUUAUUACUAUUAUAGCUUGCAGUUGAGAAAGCCAACACUCUAAGUCUAUUUAUAACCAAGGAAUCUCACAGAGUCUAUAUCACUCCCCUGCCACCCCCAUCAGAGCUGAUGCUGGUACCCGCUGCUGGGAGACUUUGUAUGAUGGCUGGGAGAGGUCAUAUCACUAGAUCCCUUGUAGACAUUCUCCAGCACCAGCAUGGCAUAUGGAAUCCCCACUGAACAGCUAGACUCAGAGGAGCAGCAGCAUUCACUGUAAUCUGACCCUCAGGGACUCCUGCUCCUGGAAGAAAGCGGGGAGUGAACCCCAUCAAGAGAGCACCCUGUUUGACAAAAUAAUCCAGAAGGCAAGCCUUGAGUCCCUGAACUUUCUGCUUGUGGGAAGUUUCUAUCAGCAGAGGCACAAGUGCAGGACUGAGCUCAGUGUGGAAAGUUAUGUGGCUCUACCACGAUAGUCUGGCAGCCCUGGUACUUGUGAAGGGUCUUGGAGAAGGGGACUUUCUCUUCCCCUUACUUAGCACUGCAGACACAGCUGCAGCUUCUCCCAUGGGAACUUAGCAUGGGUGAACAUGUAAACAGCCUUCCUGAAGCACUUCAGGGUGAUAGCAUCCCCCAAAAAGGAGUGCCUUGCAGGUUCAGGCUUGCACUAGUAGAGCCACCAUCCCUCUCUACAUUAAACAUAAGCAUUCCUGCAGAUUAAAAGAGGUACCUGUCUGAUCUGAAUAGCAGGAACACUGUGUCAGGAGUGUGACUGGGAGGCAGAUUGUUUUCUUGCUGGCCUGGCAGGGGAGCAAGAUGGCUUUCUUCCUUCUCCCAUGAAAGGACCUUGGUGUGUUUCACUGAGAGCUCCCCCAGCCACCUCUGUCAAGGUUGGGUUGUCUGCCCACUACUGGGUAUUGUGUUUACCUACCUGCUUUAGCCACAGCCAGUUUUCACCUGUAGACACCAUCCCCUACUGCCCUGAAGACUGAACUAUUCAACCUAGUAAAUAAAAUACUGAGAAAAAAAUAAAUCAAUAAAAAAGUACACACCACUGGGGAUAAAGAAGUUUCAAAUGACCUCUGCUAUUUCAACCCUACAGGAGACAGUAAACCUGCUCACACAUUGAGAAUAUUGCUACUACAACCAGCAUCUGAGUAAGCAAUGACGUAAAGACUCUCUAUAACCAAGGAACUCAUACCAAAUCUUUACCUCCAACACUCAGAGCCAAAUUAGGUUACAAUAAACUAUAAUCAGCCAGGUGUGGUGGCUCACACCUGUAAUCCUAGCACUUUGGGAGGCUGAGGUGGGUGGAUCACAAGAUCAGGAGAUCAAGACCAUCCUGGCUAACAUGGUGAAACCCCAUCUCUACUAAAAAUACAAAAAAAUUAGCUGGGCGUGGUGACGAGCGCCUGUAGUCCCAGCUACUCAGGAGGCUAAGGAAGGAGAAUGGCAUGAACCCAGGAGGUAGAGCUUGCAGUGAGCUGAGAUAGCACCACUGCACUCCAGCCUGGGUGACAGAGCGAGACUCCAUCUCAAAUAAAUAAAUAAAUAAAUAAUAAACUAUAAUCAUUAAAGUCACACCCUCAAAGGGUAAAAAGGAAAUAAAAACCACAGUAGAAUUAAAAAGUAAUUAGAAGAAAUAGUCUACCUAAAUGAGAUGGAAUCAGAAAAAUAAUUCUGGAAAUAUGACAAAACAGGUUCUAUAGCUCCCCCCAAAGAUCAUGCUAGCUCUCCAGCAAUGGAUCCAAACCAAGACAAAAAUCUCUGAAAUACCAGAUAAAGAAUUCAAAAGGUUGGUUUUUAAGUUACUCAAGGAGACACAAGAGAAAGGUGGAAGUAAACCUAAAGAAAGUUAAAAAAGUUCAAAAUACAAAUAAAAUUUUUUAAAAGAAAUAGAUAUAUUUUUUUAAAAAAUCAGAACUUUUGGAAAUGGAAUAUACAUUUUGAAAACUACAAAAUGCAGUGGAUUUAACAAUAGACUACACCAAGUAGAAGAAAUAAUUUCAGAGCUUGAAGACAAGGCUUUUGAAUUAACUCAAUCAGACAAAAAUUAAGAAGGAAGAAUAUGGGGGGUGGGGCCAAGAUGACCAACUAGAAGCAGUGGUGACCGGAGGCUGUCAUGGAAAAGAUCCAAAACGGUUUGCAAAUCUUGCACCAGCAACUGAGGUAUCCAGGUUCUGUCAUUAGGACUGACAAGGUAGCUGGCAUGACCCAUGGAAAGGAAGGAAGAGCUGCACAGAUUGUCCAACAGCCACUGGGGUAGAAUCAGUCUAAGCCUGAUGGGUUCCUGGUGGGAGGGGCAGCCAUCACCACUGCUGUGGCUGCCUGCUGUCUAAGCCAUCUGAGCUCCUUGAAGGAGGGGCAGCAGCCAACACAGCAGCUGCAGGGCCUCCCUGUAGAAACUCCAACUCCAGCCAGGGGCUCAGGGAGAGAAUUCUUAUCUCCCUGGGCCUGAGCCCCUCGGGGGAAAUGUAAUCACAGUCUCUGCCAACCAGCAGACUCAGUCUUUCCUCCUGCUACCUGUGAGGAAUCUGGGCAGCACAGACGAGUGGGUUUCCCUGCCACGCAGCACACCCCCUCCAUUAAGGGAAAGCCAAAUGGGUCCUGCUUCCCAUUCCACCCAACUGGGUAAGACCCCCCUUUGCAGGGACAUGGAUGAAGCUGGAAGCCAUCAUCAUUAACAAACUAACACAGGAACAAAAAAACAAACACUGCAUGUUCUCACUCAUAAGUGGGAGUUGAACAAUGAGAAUGCAAAGACACAGGGAGGAAAACGACACACACCGGGGCCAGUCAGGGGGUGGGGGGUGAAGGGAACAAGAGCAUUAAGACAAAUAGCUAAUGCAUGCAGGGCUCAAAACCUAGGUGACGGGUUGAUAGAUGCAGCAAAUCACCAUGGCACACAUGUACCUAUGUAACAAACCUACACGUUCUGCACUUGUAUCCUUAAACUUAAAGUAAAAAAAAAAAAAACAAAAAACCCAUAAUCCAUCACAUAAACAGAACUAAUGACAAAAACCACAUGACAAUUUCAGUAGAUGCAGAAAAGGCCUUUGAUAAAAUUCCACAUCCCUUCAUGUUAAAUGCCCUCUCUCACCACUCCUAUUCAACAUAGUAUUGGAAGUUCUGGCCAGGGGAAUUAGGCAAGAGAAAGAAAUAAAGGGUAUCCAAAUAGGAGAUAGGAAGUCAAAUUGUCUCUGUUUGCAGAUAACAUAAUUCUAUAUUUAGAAAACCCCAUCAUUGCAGCCCAAAAACUUUAAGCUGAUAAGCAACUUCAGCAAAGUCUCAGGAUAUAAAAUCAAUGUGCAAAAAUCACAAGCAUUUCUAUAAACCAACAUUAGACAAGCAGAGAAUCAAAUCAUGAAUGAACUCUUAUUCACAAUUGCUACAAAGAGAAUAAAAUACCUAGAAAUACAGCUAACAAGGGAUGUGAAAGACCUCUUCAAGGAGAACUAUGAAACCACUGCUCAAGGAAAUAAGAGAAGAAAAAAACAAAUGGAAAAGCAUUCCAUUCUCAUGGAUAGAAAAAAUUGAUAUCAUAAAAAUGGCCAUACUGCCUAAAGUAAUUUACAGAUUCAAUGUUAUUUUCAUCAAACUACCAUUGACAUUCUUCACAGAAUUAGAAAAAACUACUUUAAAUUUCAUAUGGAACCAAAAAAGAGCCUGCAUAGCCACGACAAUCCUAAGCAGAAAGAACAAAGCUGGAGGCAUCAUGCUACCUGACUUCAAACUAUACUGCAAGCCUACAGUAACCAGAACAGCAUGGUACCAGUACCAAAAUAGACAUAUAGACCAAUGGAAAAAAACAGAAACCUCAGAAAUAACACCACACAUCUACAACCAUCUGAUCUUUGACAAACCGAACAAAAGCCAUGGGGGAAGGCAUUCCUUAUUUAAUAAGUGGUGCUGGGAAAACUGGCUAGCCAUAUGCAGAAAACUGAAACUGACCCCUUCCUUCCACCUUGUACAAAAAUCAACUCAAGAUAGAUUAAAGGCUUAAAUGUAAAACCCCAAACCAUAAAAACCCUAGAAGAAAACCUAGGCAAUACCAUUCAGGACAUAGGCACGGGCAAAGAUUUUAUGAAGAAAUCACCAAAAUCAAUUGCAAUGAAAGCAAAAACUGACAAAUGGGACCUAAUUAAACUAAAGAGUUACUGCACAGCAAAAGAAACUAUCAUCAGAGUGAACAGGCAACCUACAAAUGGAAGAAAAUUUUAGCAAUCUACCAAUCUGAAAAAGGUCUAGUGGAAGAUCCCACUUGAGAGCCCACACAACUGGAAUCUACAAGGAACUUAAAGAAAUUUACAAGAAAAAAACAAACAAACCCAUCAAAAAGUGAGCAAAGGAUAUGAACAGACACUUUUCAAAAGAAGAUAUUUAUGCAGCCAGCAAACACAUGAAAAAAAGCUCAACACCACUGAUCAUUAUAGAAAUGCAAAUCAAAACUACAAUGAGAUACCAUCUCAUGCCCAUCAGAAUGGCGAUUAUUAAAAAGUCAAGAAAUGACAGAUGCUGGUGAGGCUGUGGAGAAAUAGAAAUGCUUUUACAUUAUUGGUGGGAAUGUAAAUUAGUUCAACCAUUGUGGAAGACAGUGUGGUGAUUUCUCAAGGACCUAGAACCAGAAAUACCAUUUGACCCAGCAAUUCCAUUACUGGGUAUAUACCCAAAGGAAUAGAACUCAUUCUAUUAUAAAGAUACAUGCACACAUAUUUUUAUUGCAGUACUAUUCACAAUAGGAAUGACAUAGAACCAACCCAAAUGCCCAUCAAGGAUAGACUGGAUAAAGAAAAUGUGGGCUGGGUGCGGUGGCUCACUCCUGUAAUCCCAGCACUUUGAAAGGCCAAGGUGGGCAGAUCAUGAUGUCAAGACAUUGAGACCAUCCUGGCCAACACAGUGUAACCGCGUCUCUACUAAAAAUACAAAAAUUCACCAGGCAUGGUGGCGCACACCUGUAUUCCCAGCUACUCUGGAGGCUGAGGCAGGAGAAUUACUUGAACCUGGGAGGCAGAGGUUGCAGUGAGCCAAGAUCAUGCCCCUGUACUCCAGCCUGGUGAGAGAGCAAGACUCCAUCAAAAAAAAAAAAAAAAAAAAAAAAAAGAAAGAAAGAAAGAAAGAAAGAAAAUGUGGUAUGUAUACACCAUGGAAUACUAUGCAGCCCCCAAAAAUAUUGAGAUCAUGUCCUUCGCAGGGACAUGGAUGAAGCUGGAAGCCAUCAUCCUUAGGAAACUAACACAGGAGCAGAAUACCAAACACCAUAUGUUUUCACUCAUAAGUGGGAGUUGAUCAGUAGAACUCAUGGACACAGGGAGGGAAACAGCACAUACUGGGGCCUGUCAGGUGUGGGUGAUGGGAGGGAGAGCACCAGAACAAAUAGCUAAUGCAUGCAGGGCUUAAAACCUAGGUGAUGGGUUGAUAGGUGCAGCAAACUACCAUGGCACACAUAUACCUAUGUAAUAAAUCUGCAUGUCUGCAUGUUCUGCACAUGUAUUCCAGAACUUAAAAUAAAAAAAAAGAAUCAAAAGAAAUGAACAAAGUCUCCAAGAAAUGUGAAAUUAUGUAAAAUGGCCAAACAUAAAAAUCACUGGUGUUCCUGAGGGAGGAAAAAAAAAGAGUUUGGAACAUUUAUUUGAGGGAAUAAUUGAAGAAAAUUUCUGGGCCUUGCUAGAGGUUUAGACAUCCAAAUACAAGAAGUUCAAAGAACUCCUGGGAGAUUCCUUUCAAAAAGAACAUCACUGAAGCAUGUAGUCAUCAGGCUAUCUAAAAUCAGAGUGUAGAAAAGAACUCUAAAAGCAGUGAGACAAAAGCAUCACAUAACCUAUAAAGAAAAUUCUAUUAGAUUAACAGCAGACUUCUCAGAAGAAACCUUACAAGCCAGAAGUGAUUAAGGUCUUAUAUUUAGCCCCCUUAAAUAGAAUAACUGUCAGUCAAUAAUUUUGUAUCCCAUAAAACUAAGUUUUAUAAAUGAAGGAGAAAGAAAGUAUUUUUCAGACAAGCAAAUACUGAGGAAAUUGGUCACUACCAGACCAGACUUACAAGAAAUGCUAAAAGGAUUUCUACAUCUUGAAACCAAAGUUCCAUAUGUACCAGAAUAGAACCUCUUCAAAGCAUAAGACUCACAGAGUGUAUGAAACAGUACCACAAUGAAGAAAACAAAGUAUCUCUGGAACAGUAUCUUAUAUCUCAAUAUUAACAUUGAAUGUAAAUGGCCUAAAUGCUUCACUUAAAAAAUAAAGAUUGGCAGAAUGGAUAAAAAAUGUCACAAACUAAAUAUUUUCAAAACAUUCACCUAAUAUGUAAUGAUUCUUAUAAACUCACAGUAAAGGAGUAGAAAAAGGUAUUGCAUGCAAAUGGAAAUCAAAAGCAAGCAGUAGCAGGUAUUCUUAUAUAAAACAGGCUUUAAAGCAACAACACUAAAACAAGACAAAAAGUCAUUAUAUAAUGAUAAAAGGAUCAAUGCAACAAGAAGAUAUUAUAAUACCAUCUUAAACAUAUAUGCACCUGAAAUCAAGAUGGAAAUUUCAAAAUUCUUCAAAGUAAAUGAUAAUAGUAACCCAAGUUAUAAAAUCCUCUGGGAUACAGCAAAAGCAAUGCUAAGAGGAAAGUUUAUAUCACGAAAUGCCUACAUCAAAAAGUCUGAAAGGUCACAAAUUGACAACUUAAUGUCACACCACAAGGAAUUAGAGAAAUAAGAAUAAACUGAACCCAAAGCUAGCAGAAGAAAAGAAAUAACAAAGAUCAAAGCAAAACUAAAUGAAAUGGGUACAAAAAAUACAAAAAAUUAAUGAAACAAAAGUUCAGUUUCUGAAAAGAUAAGCAAAAUUGAUAGCCCAUUAGCUAGAAUAACAGAGAAAUGAAGAGAGAAAAUUCAAAUAAGUUCAAGUAGAAAUAAAAAUGGAGAACAUUACAACUAACACCACAGAAAUAUAAAAGAUCAUUCAAGACUACUAUGAACACCUCUAUGCACACAAACUAGAAAAUCUAGAGGAAAUGGGUAAAUUUCUGAAAAUAUACAACCCUUAGCUUAAAUCAGGAAGAAAUAAUAGAAAUUCAGAACAGACCAGCAACAAGCAGUGAGGGUGAAUUAGUAAUAAAAAAAAAUGCCAACAAUAAAAAAAGCCUAGGGUCAGAUGGAUUCACAGCUGAAUUCUAUCAGAUCUUCAAAGAAGAAUUGGUACCAAUUCUACUGAAACCACUCCAAAAGACUGAGAAAAAGGAAAUCCUUCCUAACUCAUUCUAUGAGGACAGUAUCACCCUGAUACCAAAGACAGGAAAUAACAUAAUAAAAAUGAAAACUACAGACCAAUAUUCCUGAUGAACAUAGAUGCAAACAUCCUCAACAAAAUACUAGCAAACUAAAUCUAAUAUCAGGAAGCAGAGGGUCCUUGGUUCUUGUCUUCUUGGAAGAAAGAAUUCAACCAAGAGAAAAGCAGUUACAGUUAAGACUAGGAAAGUUUAUUUAAAGUGAAAAUAUACCCUGAAUGCUGAGUUAGAGUGGGCUGCUUAAGAAUGAGACAGCCCAGAUAGGCACGGGGAGGCUCUCUUACGAGAGUCUCACAGGAUUAUUCAUGAAUGGUGUGAAGGAGUGUUAUUAGCAAGCACGUUUUGGGUGGUCCCCUGGGCAUGUCUUAUUAGCAUCUUAAAUCUCGACCUAGGGGUGUGUUUCUUACUAUUAUAAUGAGCAAAAUGUUACCUUUAGGGUGACACUGCCAAGUUGAGGUGUGCGUGCUAGCCACUGGGAAAAGUCCCUACUACAGUCAUUUCCUGUUACGGAUAAGUCUUGGUUGGGGCUGCAUAAGCAUAACCACAAGUCUAGAUGUGGCUAUUGGCUUUUUAAAAAAUCCUAACUGCUAGGGAAGCAUUGAUUGCUAGUGGGGCAAUGUUUCCAGGGCUUCCUUCCUCCAGGGCUGCCUUUCUUUCUUAUGUAUAUCUGUCUACAAACUCUAACAAAUCCAACAGCACAUCAAAAAGAUAAUUCAUCAUGAUCAAGUGGGUUUUAUCCCAGGGAUGUUACCACAAAUGAAUCAGGAAGAAGUGAAAAAUCUGUAUAGACCAAUAGCAAGUAGGGAGAUCAAAGGACGUUAAUGAGCAAUAACCUCUUGAAGGUACAAAACUCUCUGGUAAUAGUUAAGUAUACAGAAAACACAGAAUAUUACAAUAUUGAAAGUGUGGUGUGUAAGCUACUCUUACUCCAAGUAGAAAAACUAAAUGAUCCUCAACAAAAUACUAUAAAACAGAAUUCAACAAUAGAUUAGAAAAACCAUUCAUCAUGCCCAAGUGGGAUGUGAGAAGGGUUCAACAUACACACAUCAAUCAAUGUGAUAAAUCAUACAACAAAAUAAAGGAUAAAAACCACAUAAUCAUUUCAAUGAAUGCUGAGAAAGCAUUUGAUAAAAUUCAACAUUGCUUCAUAAUAAAAAGGUACAUAUUCACAAUGGAGCAUGAUUCUGUGAUAAAAAGAAUGUGAUUCAAUCACUUGCAACAACAUGGAUGGAACUGGAGAUCAUUUUGUUUAACAAAAUGAAUCAGAUACAGAAAGACAAACAUCGCAUGUUCUCACCUAUUUGUGGGAUCUGAAAAUCAAAGACACAUAUAUAUGAAAAGAUACCCCAUGUUCAUGAAUUGGAAGAAUUAAUAAAGUAUCCAUACUAUCCAAAGUGAUCUACAGAUUUAAUGUAAUUCCUAACAAAAUUCCAAUAUCAUUUUUCAAAAAAAUAGCAAAAAAUCCUAAAAUUAGUAUGUAACCACAAAAGUCCCCAAAUAGCAAAACCAAUCUUGAGCAAAAAGAACAAAGCCGAAGGCAUCAUACUUCAUGAUUUCAAACUAUAUUGCAAAGCUACGUAAUCAGAAUAGUAUCAUACUGGCAUAAGAACAGACAAAUAGACCAAUGGAAGAGAAUAGUGAGUCCAGUAAUGAACUCACAUAUAUAUGGUCAACUAAUCUUUGACAAGGAUGCCAAGAAUGCACAAUUGGUAAAAGAUAGUCUUUUCAAUAACUGGUGUUGAGAAACAGCAUAUCCAGACUCAAAAGGAUGUAAUUUCACCCUUAGCAUAUACCAUAAGAAAAAAUUAACUCAGAACAGAUUAAACUUACAUGUAAGUUCUGAACAAAAACUUCUAAAAGAAAAUAUAGAGAAAAAGCUCCUUGACAUUGGUCUUGGAAUGAUUUGUUAAAUAUGAUGGUGAAAACACAGGCAACAACAAAAAAAAACAAGUGGGACUGUAUCAAACUAAAAAGUUUCUGCAAAACAACAAAAUGAAAAGGCAAACCCCAGAAAUAGAGAAAAUAUUUUCAAGUCAAACAUUCCACAAGUGGUUAAUGUCUAAAUAUAUAAGGAACUCCUACAAGUCAAAAGUAAAAAAGAAAAUCUGAUUAAAAAAUGAUCAGAGGACCUGAAUAGAUAUUUUUCAAAGAGGACAUACAAAUGGCCAACAAGUAUGUAAAAAGGUGCUCAGCAUCAAUAAUCAUCAGGUAAAUGCAAAUUAAAACUGUAAUGACAUAUUACUUCAUACCUAUUAGGAUGGCUAUUAUCAAAAAGUCAAAAGAUAAGUGUUAGUAAGGAUGUGGAAAAAAGGAAACCCUUGUACACUGUUGUAGUGAAUGUAAGUUGGUACAACCAUUAUGGAAAAAAGUAUGGAGGUUCCUCAAAAAAUUUAAAAGAGAAUUACCACAGGAGCCAGCAAUUCCAUUUCUGGAUAUAUAUUUAAAGGAAAUGAAAGCAGUAUAUCCAAGAGAUAUUGUCAUCACCAUAUUCAUUGCAGCAUUAUUCGCAAGAUCCAAUAUAUCAAUAUAAUCUAAACGUCCACUGAUAAAUAAAGAAAAUGUGGUAUAAAAUGAGAUACCACUUCACACCAGUCAGAAUGGCUAUUAUUAAAGAGUCAAAAAAUAACAGAUGAUGUCAAGGUUGUGGAGGAAAGGGAACUCUUACACACUGCUAGUGGGAAUGUAAAUUAGUUCAGCCACUGUGGAAAGCAGUUUGGAGAUUUCUCAAAGACUUUAAAACAGAAUUACCAUUUGACCCAGCAGUCCCAUCACUGGAUAUAGACCCAAAGGAAUAUAAAUUGUAGUGUAAAGACACAUGCACAUAUAUGUUCAUUGCAGCACUAUUCACAAUAGCAAACACAUGAAAUCAACCUAGAUGCUUAUCAGUGGUGGACUGCAUAAAGCAAACGUCAUACAUAUACACCAUGGAAUACUAUGAAGCCAUAAAAAAUUAAGUGUUUUCUGUAAUAUGGAUGCUGCAAGCGGCCAUUAUCCUAAGUGAAUUAAUGCAUAAACCAAAUACUACACGUUCUCACAACUGAAAGCCAAACACUGAAUACACAUGGAUACUAAGAAGGGCUUGAUAGAUACUGGGGCCUAAUUGAGGGUGGAGAGAGGGAGAAGGGCAAGAAUCAAAAAAUAACCCAUUGGGUACUAUGCUCAUUACCUGGGUGAUAAAAUAAUCAGACUACUAAACCCCCAUGACAUGCAAAUUAUCUAGUAACAAACCUGCACAUGUACUCCUUGAACCUAAAAUAAAAUUUGGAAGAAAAAAAUUUAAAAAGUACUUAAACCACCCACCCUCCAAAAUAAUAAAAAAUGUUAUUUCCUUUAUGAAAAAAAGAAAAUGUAUAUAUACAAUGGAAUAGUAUUUAACAAUAAAAAAGAAGGAAAUCAUGCCAUUUCUGAAAACAUAGAGGAACCUGGAAGACAUUAUGCUAAGUGAAAGAAGCCAGACUCAGAAAGAAAGAAAAAUAGUAUACUAUCUCAUGUAUAUGUGGGAUCUAAAGAAGUAGAGCACAUAGAAGCAGAAUGUAAAACAUAGGUUGCCAGAGGCUGGGAAGUGGAGAAAAUGGGGAGAUGUUGGCUGAUGUGUGCAAAUUUAUGAGUAAAUCUAUGAGUAAAUUCUGGGGAUCUAAUGUACAGCAUGAUGACUAUAAUUAAUAAUACUGUAUUGCAUUCUUGAAAUUUGCUAAGAGAGUAGAUUGUAUUUUCAACAUAAUAAAUGGUAGCUACAUGUGGUAAUGGAUAGUUAAUUAAUUUCAUCUUGACAAUCAUUUUACAAUGUAUAUCAAAUCAUCAUGUCAUAUACUUUAAAUAUAUACAAUUUUUAUUUGUCAAGUGUAUCUCAAUAAAGCUAGAAAAAAGAAGUAUAUAAGACAGUAUGUCAGAUAACCAAAUUAGAAUCCCGCAAAAAGAUCUCUUGCCAGAUUUGAAUGGGUCCAAUUUUACAAUAUGAAAUUUAAUAUACAUGUUUAACAUAAAAGCAAUUGUACAUGUAAAAUGGUUAAAAAACUCUAUUUAGCAUAUAUACUAAUAAUUUUACUUGGUAGUAGGAUAAAUAUAAAAUAUGAUUGAAUAGGUAGCAGAUUUACUUUAGGCUGAAUUAACAGAAAUAUAGUAUGUAGAAUGAAGCAGGUGACAGUCCUAUCUUCUUGUGCUCUGAUUAACUCCUGAAGUACUGCAUUCAUUUCAGAAAGCCACAUCUUAAAACAUGCCCAAACAAGCUAAAAUGUGUUUAGAGAACCAGCAUGGUGAGGGGACUCCAAAUUAAGUCACAUGAGGAAAGGUUGAAUAGAUUUUGAAUAUUUGGUAUAGCCAGGAGAAGACUCAGGGCUGAAGUCAUAGUGGGAAGAAGGACCACUAUCUUUACAAGUUUGAAGGUCUAUCAUGUACAGGCAGCAUUAGAUUUGUCAUACAUGGUCCAGAGGAGAUGAAUUAGAAUAAACAGUUAAAAAGUAAAGCUCUUUGCUUGGCAUAAGUAGAAAACUUGAAACAGUAGAGCUAUUCAAAGAUUUAACAGACUUCCAUGGGAGGCAAUUAAUUCCUCAUCAAUAAAAAUAUUUAACAACAUGCUGGAAUAUUAUAGAAAAUUGAAAUACAAUAUGACUUAUUAGGUGAUCUUUCCUGCAACUAAACCUUAAACAUAAGGGUUUGCAGACCUGUGAACAUACUCAGGAUCCAAUUUUUAAAAUGGCAUAUUAUAGGGGCAUAGUCAGUUUUUUUCUUGGUCCCCAAAAUACCUUCAGAAAUAGGCAGAGGAGAAAGAAGAGAAAGAGAAAACUCUAUGAGUAAUUAUGUGUCCAUCUAGCCACAUAUUUUUAUUUUAAAGCUCUAAAAGCAGGAUAUAUAAAAGAUCACAACCAGUAGCUAAAUAUACAUUAUAAGUGUACUUGAAUUUUCAGUGGACAACACUAUCCCAGCAUGACACAUAAGCAAAUAUCUUCUUUUUAAAAAAAAUUUUUUUUGCUAUAUUUUAAGUUGUGAGAUACAUGUGCAGAAUGUGCAGGUUUGUUACCUACAAAUACACAUGCCAUGGUGGUUUGCUGUACCCAUCAACCCAUCAUCUAUAUUAGGUAUUUCUCCUAAUGCUAUCUCUCCCCUAGCCCCCCAGCCUCCAACAGGCCCUCGUGUGUGAUGUUUCCCUCCCUGUGUCCAUGUUUUCUCAUUGUUCAACUCCCACUUGUGAGUGAGAACAUGUGGUGUUUGGUUUUCUGUUCCUGUGUUAGUUUUCUGAGAAUGAUGGUUUCCAGCUUCAUCCAUGCCCCUGCAAAGGACGUGAACUCAUUCUUUUUUAUGGCUGCAUAGUAUUCCAUGGUGUAUAUGUGCCACGUUUUCUUUGUCCAGUCUAUCAUUGAUGGGCAUUUGGGUUGAUUCCAAGUCUUUGCUAUUGUGAACAGUGCUGUAAUAAACAUACGUGUAUGUGUGUCUUUAUAGUAGAAUGAUUUAUAAUCCCUGGGGUAUAUACUCAGUAAUGGGAUGGCUGGGUCAAAUGGUAUUUCUGAUUCUAUAUCCUUCAGCAAUUGCCACACUGUCUUCAACAAUAGUUGAACUAAUUUACACUCCCACCAACAGUGUAAAAGCAUUCCUAUUUCUCCACAUCCUUGCCAGCAUCUGUUGUUUCCUGACUUUUUAAUGAUCGCCAUUCUAAUUGGCAUGAGAUGGUAUCUCAUUGUGGUUUUGAUUUGCAUUUCUCUAAUGACCAGUGAUGAUGAGCUUUUCUUCAUAUGUUUGUUCGCUACAUAAAUGUUUUCUUUUGAGAAGUGUCUGUUCAUAUCCUUUGUCCACUUUUUGAUGAGGUUGUUUGUUUUUUUCUUGUAAAUUUUUUUAAGUUCUUUGUAGAUUCUGCAUAUUAGCCCUUUGUCAGAUGGACAUAUUGCAGAAAUUUUCUCCCAUUCUGUGGGUUGCCUGUUCACUCUGAUGAUAGUUUCUUCUGCUGUGCAGAGGCUCUUUAGUUUCAUUAUAUCCCAUUUGUCAAUUUUGGCUUUUGUUGCUUUUGCUUUUGGUGUUUUAGUCAUGAAGUCUUUGCCCAUGCCUAUGUCCUGAAUGGUAUUGCCUAAGUUUUCUUCUAGGGUUUUUAUGGGUUUAGGUCUAACAUUUAAAUCUUUAAUCCAUCUGGAGUUAAUUUUUGUAUAAGGUGUAAGGAAGGGGUCCAGUUUCAGUUUUCUGCAUAUGGCUAGCCAGUUUUCCCAACACUAUUUAUUAAAUAGGGAAUUUUUUCCCCAUUACUUAUUUUUGUCAGUUUCAUAGAAUUAGAAAAAACUACUUUAAAUUUUAUAUGGAACCAAAAAUGAGCCCACAUAGCUAAGACAGUCCUAAGCAAAAAUAACCUAGCUAUAGGUAUCACACUACCUGACUUCAAAUUAUACUACAAGGGUACAGUAACCAAAACAGCAUGGUGCUGGUGCCAAAACAGAUAUACAGACAAAUGGAACAGAACAGAGGCCUCAGAAAUAACACCACACAUCUACAACCAUCCGAUCUUUGACAAAUAUCUUCUAAAUUCUUCCUCUUUUGCCAUUUUCUAUGCUCUUCAGUUUCCGUUGUCUUUGCAUUUAUCUGUUCUUCUUGUCCCACUUACACUCUGGCAAAUAUCUCCAUUAUCAGCAUUGCUAAUCCUGUUUUAUUGAAGAACAUCUUGCAGGAAGGCAAAUGAUCCUGCAUGGCUAGGAAAAAAAAUAAACAAUAUAAGAAUAAACACUCUGGAGAGCUGUUUGCCCCAAUGCCAUAUUGUAUACAAUUCAAAACAGAGACCUUAGUAGUAGUCUAUUAUUUUAAGGGCAAUCCAAACACUAGAACAAAGUAAAUGAGUAGUUAAUAUUGAAUUCAAUAAUACAUACAACAGAAUGCCAGCUCUCCCUAAAGGGAGAUUAUGAAUCACCAAGACCAAAUUCUUUAUUUUACAGAUGAGGAAAUGAAAGCCCAGGGAGAUGAAUUCAUUUUCUCAUAAUUCUAUAGCCAGAUGCUUUAGUUUGUUGAGCUGAAUAGAUAUUUUGCUUCAAAGUAUUUAUGAUAGUUAAAGCAAGUUCACUUGAUGUCUUUGUUUUGGUUACUGAUUACUUUUUAAAAAAUGCUUCAGUUUGGAAUUUCCAGUUUUUUCCUGUUUUUGGCUCAAGUCACAGGUAUUAAGUUUCGAUUUCCAAUAUUAUUAAUAAAAGUAGGUUUACCAGUGAUAACAAAGUGUUUUACCUAUGUUGCAAUGAUAAUUCUGAGCCAUUCACAGUGGAAAACAUGCUUGUCUAGGCAAUUGAGGUUGUGCUUCUGCAAAAGGGAAUGGUUGCACUUUGAGUCUCCUAUCCCCUGCUCUCAUUAUUAAAUAAAUAAGCUCUAAGAAAACUCUAAAUCUAAAAUCUUAUUUUCUGCUAGUGUUCCUGGUAGUUCAGUUUACCAGAUUUCUAAGGCAUUGUACUUCAUUCUUUAGAGUUAUUAGCAAUCUCAGUCCAUUUAGUCUUGGGAGGAUCCCAGGCUGAAAACUGAGUACAAAACAGAAGCUGGCACCGACCAACUUCCAUAAAAAAGGCUGGAAGAACAACAUGAGUAAUCAAGACCCCAAAGACACCUUUUUUUGGAGGCUUGUUCCAGUAGUACUCUUUUGAGUCAGAAGAAGUUACCAAUGUCAGUGAGUAGAGAGAGCAAAGGUUUAUUUCUUUUAACAAAUGAAGUGUGAUAAAUUCCUAGCUAUUACUCCAAAAUGUCCCAGGAAGGGGUACACCUUAUGUAUGCUUCACCCCAGUAUGUAACAAGAUAGUUUAGUGCUUGUUGUUCAUUUUAAUUCAAUACAGCUGUCACCACAAAGAUGACAAUUAACGUGAAUACAAGUUUUCAUAACUUACCCUCCAAUAAUAAUCUAUCCUUCUGCCGACGGAUAUUAUGAUCUAUAAGUUUAUUUUAAAAGCUAAUAUAAGAACUCAAACCAAAAGAAGAAGCAAAGGAAAGAUAAGUGGUUGGAGAACUCAUUGAGGUGAACUGCUAGUGUCAAAAAAACCCUAUUAUGCAGAGCCAUGUUCUGUCAUUAGGUUGAUAUCUUUUCUACCAGAAUCAGGGACUAUUAUGAGCAACUAUUCACUAAUAAACCUAGAGGAAAUGAAUAAAUUCCUGGACACAUAUAACCUACCAAGAAUGAAUCAAGAAGAAAUAGAAAACGUGAACAGGCCAAUAACAGGUAAUGAAAUCAAAACAACACUAAAAAGUCUCCCCACACCAAAAAAAAAGUCCAGGACUGGAUGGGUUCACUGCCCAAUUCUACCAAACUUUCAAAGAAGAACUAACACAAAUUAUCUUAAAACUAUUACAAAAAAUCGAAGAGGAGGACUUUCUCCCUUACUCAUUCUACAAGGUCAGUAUUAUUUUGAUACCAAAACCAGACAAAGACACAAAAAGAAAAGAAAACUACAGUCCAAUAUCCCUGAUGAGCAUAGACACAAAAAUCUUCAGCAAAAUACUGGCAAACCAAAUCCAACAGCACAUCAAAAAACGUAAUACAAUAUGAUCAGUUGAUAUUUACCCCAGGGAUUUAAGGGGUAUUUACCCCAGGGAUUUAAGUUGAUAUUUAUACCAGGGAUUCAAUAUGUAUAAAUCAAUAAAUGUGAUACAUCAUGUCAACAGAAUCAAGGACAAAACCCAUAUGACCAUUUCAACAGACACAGAAAAA